rnacentral:lncRNA from 1 species
AAGUAAAAAGAAAGGUUAUUUUUAUUAAUCUCCUCUCUUUUUGCCCACAGAACUCAAAGAAAUGGUGUUACCUGGCAGGAGAUCUCCUGUCUUUUAUGAAAAAUCAGACCAAGGAAUCUGGAAUAAUACUUGGUACAUAUUUGCUCAUUCAUAUGCUGAAGCUUUUGAAGUUCCCUGUCAUG